UUGACGUGUUGUGAUAGAAUUAGGAUUU
rnacentral:sRNA from 1 species